UACCAUUGAACCAUCUAUCAGAAAGAAAUAAUGCAACAAAGUUCUACGAUUUUAUUGCAAGCCCCCCCCUUUUUUUGGGAUCAAUCGAAAUCUUUCAACGAGCACUUUUGACAAGUAAACACACAACCAUACAAGGUGAAAUUUUAAUUUUCAGAAAGUCUUGUUUUUUUCCACCAAAAAUCUGUUAACCAUAAUUAUAUUCUCCAAAAUUGCGAAAAAUCCUGUUUUUGUACCGAAAUUUUCCAGAGAAAAUCUGCAGUUUGUAGUAAACACUGUCAAAAUGAUUGGUUAUUUUCUGGUCAAAAUUACCAAAUAUUCUAGUUACCUACUUGUUUUUCGUCAAAAUUGCAGAAAAAACUUCCAUUUUCCAUGCAAUCUUUUUUUUUUUGGGUCAAAGAAAUGUGUUUUUUUUUCCUGAAAAAUUAUACCUGUUUUUUUCAUUAAUUUUUUUAACCAUUAAAUUCUCAAAUUCAAUUUCCCAAAUCAACGUUCCCCAAAUAACUAUUCGUCGAAUAAAUUCACCUUGAAACUUGACUUCAAAAUGUAAGAAUUUUUUGAAAUUUUACUAGGUACCUACUUAACAAUAUUAGAAAAUUUGAGCUAUCUACUUCGACAAAAAACGAAUCUUCCCUUCAGCGAAUGAAAAGUCAGACUUUUACGGGAAUCGCGACAAUUUGAGAGGGAGAGGGGAUUUGACAAUAGACUUCCCUGGCAAAUUUUAAAAAAGUGAUUUUUUUAUAGUUUCUACAAAAUAAGUAGGACGUUUUGCAAUUCUGAGAAAAUUAGGAUUUUUUAGUAAUUUUGAUAGAAAACUUUUUUUUUUUGCAAUUUAUACUUACAGAACAAAUAUUUUUUUGAGGACAUAAAAAACCAAGAAUAAACAAGGCUGUUGACAAAUAAUGGAGAUUUUCAACAAUUUUUACAAAAAACCCUGAUUUUUCUGAAUUUUGGGAAAAAAGCAAGAUUUUUUGGUAGGCAAUGUUUGAUGAAAAAAAAUUUCUUUUAUAGUAAAUUUAACAGCAAAAUAGACUUUUUGUGAUCACAAACAAGACAUUCAGAGAACUUUGAAUUAAAAGAAGAAAAUCUCCGAAUUUUCGGUGAAAAGCAAGAACUUUUUAUUCGCUUUUUUAUACAAACAAACAGAUUUUUCUUUUGAAUUUUGAUAUACAAGUAGAAUUGUUGUGCAAUUGGAAAAAAUAAGACUUAUUGGCAAUUCUAAUGAAAAAAAGAUACAUUUUUACAGAGUUUUCUGUAAUAUUGGCCAGAAAAUUGAGAUUUUUUUUGGUAAUUUUGGUUUUGAAGUUUUGAAGAAAAAAAAAACAAGAUUUUUCUGUAGUUUCGACUAAAAAAAAAAUUUUACAACAAAAAAGUAAGGAUUUUUGGAAAAAUUUUUGCAAUGGGGAAAAAAAGACUUUUUGCCAAAAAUGACCAUUAAUUUUGUUGGCUAAAAAGUUUUUUUUAUGGUGUUGCUGUUUUUGUCACAAAAAACUGUUUUGUUGUCAAUUUUUUUUAUAAUGUGUUUAAUUACCGAAUUACUUACUUAUGCAAAAAAAAUCGCUUUAAAAUAUUUUCUUUUUUAAAAAUUACAUACAAAAAAUCCAACUUUUUAAUUAUUAUUAUAUUUUUUUUUGUGAUUAUUUACAUCUCUGAUGAAAAUUACCGAAAGUACCCAUGGACACUUCUAUAAUGUACGUAGAUUUUGCUCACAGAAGAUACUCGACUACUCGUUCGAAAAUUCCCUACACAAAUAACCCAUGGUAGGAUGUCUAAGUCAUUUCAAGUUAUGUGAAUUAUAUAUCUACAUUAAUUUUCAAUAUUUAUGUAAGUAGAUAAAAAAAAAAUCUACGAACACUUUCCACAUACGUAAAUAUUGUGUAAUCAUUUCAAGUCAACAAAAAUUUCAUUACAACAGAAGUGUUGAAAUCUGACGUACCUGCCUAAAUAUUUCGCAAACAAUUUGUUUACUUGAAUUUUCGACAUGAAAAAUCACAAAAUUUGAUGAAAAUACGAAAAUAAAGCGACAACUUGACAGCAGUUUUAUCACAAUUUCUUAAUAUAUAAGCCGCCAAAUAUCGUUAUAAAUUCACAGUAAACGAGUCGAGAAGAUUGCGCGACGAAAACAAAUACCUACUGCAGCAGCGCGGAGUCGCAGGGCAGCUCAAAGAUGAAACCAAUUCAUUUAUUAUUGAUGCUUUUAGCAGCUGGGAUAUUUGCGUUGAGUUCCGCCCAGGAUGACGAAGAGGGAUCCGAACCCGAAGAUUCCUCCGAGGAAUCCAAAGGAGAGCCGGAAGAUUUGGUGAAAGAAGUUGUCAAGGGUGUCCCAGGAGUCAACGUCGAAAAGGAAGGUGACACCCCACCCCCUGACGAAAGUGGCGCCCCACCUCCUGACGAACGUUGAGCACUACAAGAAGUGCAAAACAAAUCUGAUAAAAAAGCAUUCGUUAAUUCCACUUCAUUAAGCAUAAUGAAACAAUAUUUCACCUUCAUUGCAACAUUUCAACACCACGAUUUAUUUUACACCUCAGGACUGCUCUAUAUUGGAUCAUAUUUUUACACAUUUUCAAUUUUAACACUUGGACUAAUAUUUUAACAUUUUUAACCGGUGUUGGGGGUGGUGAUGGUUGAGAAAUUAAUUUUCAUUAGGUACUUAAGUAUAAUAGAUAAUUGUAUUAAGGACAAUUUGUGCACAUUGCUUCAAUAAAGGACUACUGCAAUAUAAAA